GACGAACGCUGGCGGCGUGCCUAAUACAUGCAAGUAGAACGCUGAAGGAGGAGCUUGCUCUUCUGGAUGAGUUGCGAACGGGUGAGUAACGCGUAGGUAACCUGCCUGGUAGCGGGGGAUAACUAUUGGAAACGAUAGCUAAUACCGCAUAACAGUAGAUGUUGCAUGACAUUUACUUAAAAGGUGCAAUUGCAUCACUACCAGAUGGACCUGCGUUGUAUUAGCUAGUUGGUGGGGUAACGGCUCACCAAGGCGACGAUACAUAGCCGACCUGAGAGGGUGGUCGGCCACACUGGGACUGAGACACGGCCCAGACUCCUACGGGAGGCAGCAGUAGGGAAUCUUCGGCAAUGGACGGAAGUCUGACCGAGCAACGCCGCGUGAGUGAAGAAGGUUUUCGGAUCGUAAAGCUCUGUUGUAAGAGAAGAACGAGUGUGAGAGUGGAAAGUUCACACUGUGACGGUAUCUUACCAGAAAGGGACGGCUAACUACGUG
rnacentral:rRNA from 1 species